UCCCGAAGUUCGAAUGGGGAGAUUCAAUUGCCUCGCCGGUUAUGACCAUUUAGUAGUGUUUUUAUAUAUGAGACAUUAUAUGCGUGCGGGAAUUUCGGUUUCCGUAGCUGUUAUAUAGUGCUCCGCUACUUUAUGUUUUAUAGUUUAUAGCCGGAGGCAUGCACUUCUCCCCUUGUAGGGCGUCAUGACCCAUUGGGUAUGUGUUAUAUGUAAAUGGUGUCUAAGGCUCAUAAUGGAGACCGUGGCGUCAAGUUUCGGCUUGUGCGCAACGGACUUAUGAUGUCCCGACAUCUACCCGAUGGUAUUAUAUUGAUGAUGGGUCGCUUUAAUUGGCGAGCGUUCAGACCUGUAACAAAUGUUUGUACGGUUCUGUGGAAAUCGGACUUUGUGCCGAUUCUACGCGUAUGACAUUGUUAGUUAUGGUGUUCUCGAACCGUUCCUUAUCAUCCGUCAAUGGCGUUUAUGUUUUGGGUAAUUACAGGACCCGUCUUGAAACACGGACCAAGGAGUCUAGCAUGUGCGCGAGUCAUUGGGACUCUAAUAAACCUAAAGGCGUAAUGAAAGUAAAUGUUUGUUGAAUUUUCGUAAUUCGCAAAUUAAGGGAAGAUGGCUGACGGAAUUUAUGUUGGCUCGCAUUCCCGGGGCGUCGCGUACUCAUUGCGAGUUGCGGCGCACCAAGAGCGUACACGCUGGGACCCGAAAGAUGGUGAACUAUGCCUGGUCAGGAUGAAGUCAGGGGAAACCCUGAUGGAGGUCCGUAGCGAUUCUGACGUGCAAAUCGAUCGUAUGAACUGGGUAUAGGGGCGAAAGACUAAUCGA
rnacentral:rRNA from 1 species